UACGUAGGGGGCUAGCGUUGUUCGGAUUUAUUGGGCGUAAAGAGCGUGUAGGCGGCCUGGUAGGUCUGCUGUGAAAACUCGAGGCUCAACCUCGAGAUGUCGGCGGAAACCAUCUGGCUAGAGUCCGGAAGAGGAGAGUGGAAUUCCUGGUGUAGCGGUGAAAUGCGCAGAUAUCAGGAAGAACACCUAUGGCGAAGGCAGCUCUCUGGGACGGUACUGACGCUGAGACGCGAAAGCGUGGGGAGCGAACAGG
rnacentral:rRNA from 1 species